CCUCUUGUGUCUCCCCAGGUGUUUCCGAUUGUCUCUUAAUUUGUUUGCUUUAUAUUCUGAGUCUUGUCAUUCGUGUUUGUCCGUUCAUUGUGCUGCAUCCCCUCAGCCUGUGUGGUGUCUUCUUGUUUUCCAAUCAAUCUUCGAGGCUGAUGUCGGAGACAAAGUCAAUGUUUUCGUACCCGUUCUGCACAAGAACCUGGUAAUACUGACUGAGACCCAGCGGAGGCCUUACAGGUUUGUGGUCCAGSAGCCAGUCUGUGGAGUACAGUUUGCUGAUUUCUGACAGCAGCUUCUUUCGAUGCCCGGGCUUCAUCACAUUAAUGGCUGUCAGGUCCUGAAACAUAAAGAACACUUGGCUUAACCACGGCCACCGUUGCCAACAUUUUAUUUAUUCAUCAUGCAAAACAAUUUGAUGCUAGUUGAACAUGAAUACAUGGGCUGCAUGUGAUAUGCCUUCAGGAACAUUUAGCUGGGGAUAAUCUCUGAUGAGUGUUCCCUGCCUUUCGGGUGGGUACGUGUCACACUGUAGUGUUUGCUCCAGCACACACACACACACACUGAACCCACACUAAAGAACAAACACGGAGUGACGCUAACAGAGUGGACGAGCCAAUGUGUGAAAAAAAUGUGUGCGAAAAACAGGGCAGAGAACAAGACUCGACUGGUUCAGACUCACACCAGGUGACGAGGGGUGAACAAUUUGUGGGGUUCUGCUGGCUAACGGGGAGGGGUCAGAGGUGAUG